UACGUAGGCAGCGAGCGUUGUUCGGAGUUACUGGGCGUAAAGGGUGUGUAGGCGGUUGUUUAAGUUUGGUGUGAAAUCUCCCGGCUCAACUGGGAGGGUGCGCCGAAUACUGAAUGACUCGAGUGUGGGAGAGGUGAGUGGAAUUCCUGGUGUAGCGGUGAAAUGCGUAGAUACUCAGGAGGAACACCGGUGGUGUAGACGGCUCACUGGACCAUAACUGACGCUGAGACACGAAAGCGUGGGGAGCGAACAGG
rnacentral:rRNA from 1 species